rnacentral:lncRNA from 1 species
UCUCAUUUUUUGUCCCCCUCCUCACCUUACACUCAGUGUUUCCAGAACAUGCUUUGCCAUUUGCCUUAUAUGGUGUUCUCUCUGUUUAGAGAAAUCCUUGCUCUUGAAUAAGUUUCAUUUGUCCUGUAAGUUGUCCUUGAAUAAGUCUCACCUGUUCUGUAGGGAUCAAAUCUGUGAGUUCCUCCAGGAAAACCUCACCUGAGCCUCCAGACUUGGGAACCUGUGGUUCCUGUCCCUCCCAACCGUGUUCCCUUCCCACCCUGCUCAGCUGCUCACGCCUCUGAGCGCAUCACCUGCUGGCCUGUGUGUGCGCCUGGCAGGGCGCCCUUGACACAGGGGCCUGUUCUGUGUGCUGCUUCCUCAGGGUCCAGCACAGGGUGGGAGCCUGAACAUGUUCUCAGGGUGAGAGGCUCUGUGUCCCAGGACUGAGCCCUCCUCACAAUGCAGUGAGCUUUGGGGACGACGGAGGAACCAGUCAGGGUGCGGGCUCCCGGGUCACACGAGGGUGCCGGGUGCUCGGGGAGCCCGUGACUGGCUUUGUCUCUGGUGGAUUUGGUCUGAAGGCUCUUUUCUAGGAGAUGGCCUGUUGUUACCUUGCUGGGGAUGUGCCUGCAGAAGGCUUCAGAAGGCUUCAAGACUGCAGUGGGUCACUGAGCUUUGUAAUUAGCUGCUUGUGACCACCACCCCCAUGCCUGCACGCACGCACGCACGCACGCACGCAUGCGCGAGCCCCUCCCACGCCCUUUGGCAUCCAGUUCCGGAGAGUCACAGGCCCAGAGGCACGUGCCAGCUGCCCUCCUCCUGGCCUUAGCAGAGAGAGAGGCUCAUCUCAGGGGUUCCAUCUGCCCCGGGGGAGGUGAACUUGGACCUCAGGGCAGCCUGCUGGGCAGGGUGGGGCCUGCAGUCCGCCCCUCCCCCAUGGUGCAGGCACCCCCCUCCAUGGGGGCCCAUGUGGACUUGCUGUCAUCACUGUGCAGGGCACAUCCGGAAGUGUUUCAGCAAACAUACAAAACUCCUCCUCCGUCCUGUCCUGUAAGUGGCCCCAAGGUGCAUCACAGAACCCUUUUUUCAGGCUGUCAGAAGCACAGGCUGCAGUGGUUAUGA